rnacentral:rRNA from 1 species
CCUACGGGAGGCAGCAGUGAGGAAUAUUGGUCAAUGGCCGGAAGCCUGAACCAGCCAAGCCGCGUGAAGGACGAAGGUGCUAAACAUUGUAAACUUCUUUUGUCAAGGGACAAAAUCAUGCUCGAGAGCCUGACCGAGGGUACUUGAAGAAAAAGCAUCGGCUAACUCCGUGCCAGCAGCCGCGGUAAUACGGAGGAUGCGAGCGUUAUCCGGAUUUAUUGGGUUUAAAGGGUGCGUGGGCGGGCUGUUAAGUCAGCGGUAAAAUCCCGGGGCUCAACCCCGGCGAGCCGUUGAAACUGGCUGUCUUGAGAUGUCGAGAGGUAUGCGGAAUGCGCAGGGUAGCGGUGAAAUGCUUAGAUAUUGCGCAGAACUCCGAUUGCGAAGGCAGCAUACCGGCGGCGGUCUGACGCUGAGGCACGAAAGCGUGGGUAUCAAACAGGAUUAGAUACCCGAGUAGUC